ACACCACUCGUACACUCAGGUGCUGAGCGCGCCGUGCACGCCCACCUGACGACUGCUCGCCACGUUCUAUUAGCC
rnacentral:sRNA from 1 species